rnacentral:lncRNA from 1 species
AAAAGUUAAAAAUUAGGCCAAUAAGCAUGUGACACAUGGCAUGCUUGAUUAUUUUAUUAUUUUCUAUAGAAAUCAGCCCAUUAAAUCCCCAAUUCCCUCACCAUAUUCGGCCUAGGCAUCCAGCAACAAGAAAAAAGGAAGAACAAAAGGAAAAACAAGAAAACCUAGGUGGAAAUUCAAAGAAAAAGUGAAGAAAUCAAGGAAACAAGCUAGGUAAGUUAAAAUUUCUUUAAUUCUCCUUGAUACCUAGCUUACCCAUGCUUUUGUUCUUGAUUUCCAUGGUUGAAUAUUGAGUUAUCAUGAUGAAUUCAAUUCUGAAAAAUGGGUAUGGAAGAGGAAUUGUUGUUGGAAUAAUUUGAUUUUAGACUAUGUUAGUGUUUAGGGAUAGUUAAGCAUGGUUAUGAACAAAAACACAAAAGAAAUAUUCAAUUUCUCUAGGGUUCCUUGUUGGUCGAACCAUGAGGGCUGAAUAUCAAUGGGGGAUUGUUUUUAUUUCAAGGAAAAUGGCAUGAAAAAUGAUGAAGUAAGGUGAAACGGUUAUGUAGAAAAAAAAUUCGAUGCUAGUGCACCAAAUGACCAAAUUUUUCUAUAAGGAACUGUGAGGGUUCUAAUGCUGAAUUUGGCUUUAUUUAAAUGUAUGUGGUAAAUUAAGGUAUUAGAGGAGAAAUGAAUUAAUUUGGAGGUGAUUUGGACACAAUCGCCGAUUAAUCGGGUGAUCGGUCGAAUUUAAUCGAUACCGUGAUUAAGCGGUAAUCGGACAUAUUUUUGCAUUUACAUAUCAAGCAUUAGUAGUUUAAAUUAAUUUAUAUCAAUUUAGGGACAAUAUAGUAAAUUCCUCGACUUUGUUAUUUGUCAAGGUGGUGAGACGUCCGGAAAAGGCAAAGGAAUUACGCUUGAGGACUAUUAGUCAGAGUUCACCCGGAAUCCGGAUUUUCGACACCUGUGAGUGGACUGCCUAUCAAAAUUGUUUUGGGAAUAUGACUGUUUUGAACAAAGUGUUUGAAUGAUUUUAUGCAAUUUUUCAUGAAAAUGAAUGCCUUGGGAACAAGCUUUUGAGAAAAGGUUUAUGUUAUGAAAUGUGGUUAUUAUGGAUUUCUAUGUGGCUGCAUUAUGUUGAUAUACAUAUAUGCUUGAAUAUAAUGUUGUGUAAUUAUGUUGACUCGGCUAUGUGCGAGUAGGGAGUGCGCAUAAGCCGAGGAUGACCCGGUUAUGUGCGAGUAGGGAGUGCGCAUAACCCGGUGAUGACCCAGCCAUGUGCGAGUAGGGAGUGCGCAUGAGCUGGUGAUGAUGAUGAUGAGCUGGUGAUGAUGAUGAUGGGUUGGUGAGAUGAUGAUGAUGGGUAUAUACGUAUAUAUAUAUAUAUACAUAUGUAAAUAUGUGUGAUAUAGCAAAUGGAUGGACAAUGAUUUAUGGAUGUGAUGUACAUGAAAGUUGAGACAUUGUACUUUGAGAAUUUUCAUGAAUGUUAGGUUGAUUUUAUUAGUUUAGCAGGAUGGCUUUUUGUUGAGUGAGGAAAAAUGUUUCUCUUGUUGCUUUGUUUUCACUGCAUCGAAAUUCAUGCUCGAUGUAGCGAAAAAGCUCUGGGGUUUGGAGGGGUCUUAAAUAGGAAUGAACUAAAUUGCAUUGUUUUGAAACAAGUGCAUCAUGAUUUUAAAUUUUUCCUAAUUGUUGCUUGUUCCCUUCCUUGUUCACUCACUGGGUUUAUACUCACCAUUUUCAAAUUCAUGUUUUCAGAUCACGAGGUAGCCGAUAAUUAGGACGAGGUGUCCUUGUAGAUCUGUGUACAUCUUUUGGUGGGUGUCUCGGCAUUCGAUAGCUGUAUAUCCAUCCG